AUGCAGGCACAUUGUGUGCCCCGCUCUCAAAUGUCCACCUCCGUUCAAGAGCCAGCCUCUGAACCAUCGGGCACGUGGGACGGGCAGUCUCCCGCCUGCCCCAGCAGAAGCCUCAAAUUCUCCAGGCCCUGCCCCGACCGGCUCCACCCUCUGACCUUUCCGGAGAAGAAAAUGGUCCCCCCCGCCCCUCCCCAAGGAAAUCAGCCCAGGGGGAUGACGAGACCCACCUGUGUGACAAAGCCGUGCGUGUGUGUACGCACAUGCAUGUGUGUGUGCGUAACUCUUCCUCGCCUGCCCUCGCCAGCUCUCCAUCGAGCUGCUCCCCCGAGGUGGACAGUGGAGGGAACUGACUCCGCCAGAACCCGGGGCCGGGCUGGAGCAGAGGACGUGGCUGGCACAGCUGUCCCUUCCCGUCCCCGGAAUGAAACCCGAAAGCAGAAAGCAGGAGAGGGGCUGAGAGGUGCUCCCAUCCCAGCCCGCACUUGGCUCCCACUCACCCUUCAGCCAGGAUCUUUACCUACCAGCUCCAGGAAACCCUGUCCCUGCCUCAGUUUACCCCAUACCUCCCUGGGCUGUGUUCUGCCGACGGAGGGAGAGUCCGGCUUGCCUUCCGGCCCAGGGCAGGCUCCUUGUGGCCCACUGGCCGCCCCACAUCACCCCCCACCUCCGCCCAGUUCUUGCUGCCCACUGCACGGCCCCCACGCCCCCUCCAAGGCUCCCUGCAGGCCUCCCGCCCUGAGCCACCUUCCUCCAAGGAUGCCGCAGGCAUGCGGCCCCAGCCCCCCGGCUCUGGGGCUGACACGUGUCCCAGCCCAGCCCCAGCAAACCCCUAUCUGCCCACAAAGGACCCAUCACACCCAGCCACCCAGCCACCCAGCCAGUCAUGGCCGUCCGCUGAGGGCUGAUCGCCCCCAGGCCCAGGCCCAGAAGAGCCCCAACAGCCCUGCCUACGGAGCUCACAUUCUGGGGGCAAGGGGACAGGAAGUAAAUGACACAUAUCUGAAAAUAAGGCAAGUCAGAUGGUAG
rnacentral:lncRNA from 1 species